AACGAACGCUGGCGGCAUGCCUAACACAUGCAAGUCGAACGAGACCUUCGGGUCUAGUGGCGCACGGGUGCGUAACGCGUGGGAACCUGCCCUUAGGUUCGGAAUAACUCCCCGAAAGGGGUGCUAAUACCGGAUAAUGUCUUCGGACCAAAGAUUUAUCGCCUUUGGAUGGGCCCGCGUUGGAUUAGCUAGUUGGUAGGGUAAAAGCCUACCAAGGCGGCGAUCCAUAGCUGGUCUGAGAGGAUGAUCAGCCACACUGGGACUGAGACACGGCCCAGACUCCUACGGGAGGCAGCAGUGGGGAAUAUUGGACAAUGGGCGAAAGCCUGAUCCAGCAAUGCCGCGUGAGUGAUGAAGGCCUUAGGGUUGUAAAGCUCUUUUACCCGGGAUGAUAAUGACAGUACCGGGAGAAUAAGCUCCGGCUAACUCCGUG
rnacentral:rRNA from 1 species